CAAGUGUUAACAAGUGUGGUUCUCUACAGUUCAAAACUUAAGGGAGUGAUAGAUAUGUAAGAAGUCACCGAGGACGUUGACUUGCAGCAGGGGAGAAUGUAGCCAGGUGAACAUGGGUUACACAGGGGUUUUCUCCUUAACAAGUGCUUUGUAAUUUGCUUGUGGGAUUAGUACUGUAGUAGCGUUCUUUUUCCCUCAAGGGGGCAUUGUUACGCUAUGGGCAGCGGAAAAGGGAAAUCGCGUGUGAGAGCAUAGUUUUGCCGAGACACCAGAAACAAGGAAGUGGCAGUACCAGGAGGUGACUGACUGCCGUGAUCUGUAAAUGAGUUUGUGUGCGUAUCUCCGCCACGCUGAGGGCAACACUGAACAGCGGGGUUAGCGUGAGUAAUGAUAAAGCACAUGUAUAAACAGAAUUAUCUCAUUUCAAUGUAUGCUGACUGAUUAAAUAAGCUAUGUCCA